rnacentral:lncRNA from 1 species
AUGCACGUGGGCACAGACACUCUCCACGCGCGUGUACACACCCACCCACUCCAUGCUCACGUGCACACAUCACACCCACUAUGCACGCGCGCUUACUACAUACUCUGUACACCCCCGCCCACAGCAGACGUGCACACACCCCACACGCACACUUCGCCUACCCUACACACGCCCCCCACGUGUGGGCACACUUCCCCCGUGCACACACGUUUACAUACCCACACCCACACGCGCCGUGCACACACAUCCCCCGACAUGCACACACAUGUACGCGGCAUCGGCAGGACACCCUCCACACACCCUCAUAAAAUACCCCACGUGCACACACACACACACACACACACACACACACACACACGCACCUGCACGCACUCCCCUCACACGCACCAGGCACACACACAGCUUGCUCUUCCACUUCCCCCCCCCCAGGUACCUUCUGAGGUCAGGCCCCUCCUGCUGCCUCCCUUCCCACCCUGGGGAGGGUUUUCAGGGGCCUGGGGCGGGCCGGCUGAAGUGACCUUGCUUUUGAGCCCCCAGGUCCCAGCUCUCCGGGAAGGUGGUAGAGGCUGCCCCUGGGAGAAGGAGCCCCUCGCGCUGAAGGAGCCCCUCGUCUGCAGCUCCAGGGCAGCCCCUGGUGAGAGCGGGCCCGGGACCCCGCCGGCCUGGCCAUCUUGGCCGCCCUGGCUGGGCAGAGAGGGGGUGACCAUGGAACGCGUGGCCGGAGUGCUCGGAGGGAGAGGUGCUCUCCUUCCCCCAGACUGGGGUGCAGUGGCGGAGGCCCGGAGGACUUCUGGGGUCGUCCCCACCGGCCUUCGGGUGAGUUCAGCUUCUCUUUCUGUCGUGUCAUUUCUGGUAUUGGAUACAAUGUCGUGCCUUUCUCUUCCACGGCGUCGGCUUUACCGAGUGCCCCUCAGGAGCCUCGGCGGCCCCGCAGAAGUCUGCGGAUGAUACAGUGUAGUCUGUGCAUACAAAUGGCGGUGUGACCGUCCACGUGUCAGUGUAGCCUGCGUACUUACACAUCCUGCAGUAGGUGGACCCGUAUAUGUCACUGCAGCAAGAAUGUGUCACUGUUAUAAAUGGACAAAUGGUAGACUUUAUGUGAAGACUUUGAUGAGGACUAGUUUCUGUCCUCAGUAUUAUUAAUUAUGCAGAUCAUUUUUCUAGUGCUGAAUUGUCCUUACACUGCUG